rnacentral:rRNA from 1 species
UACGAGGGGGGCAAGCGUUGUUCGGAAUUAUUGGGCGUAAAGAGCUCGUAGGCGGUCUGUCGCGUCGAUCGUGAAAACUUGGGGCUUAACCCUGAGCUUGCGGUCGAUACGGGCAUGACUGGAGUUCGGCAGGGGAGGACUGGAAUUCCUGGUGUAGCGGUGAAAUGCGCAGAUAUCAGGAGGAACACCGGUGGCGAAGGCGGGUCUCUGGGCCGAUACUGACGCUGAGGAGCGAAAGCGUGGGGAGCGAACAGG